AAUUAAUUUAUGGAAAUGGAUGAUCUCUUGACCUAAUUAUGUUGAUGUUUGGUAUAAUUUAGGUCAUCGUGGGACUGUAUUGUUGCGCACAUUGAAAGUUCGUUUAGUAUCUUCACUCUUAUUUACAUCGGUUGUCGAAGAUGUCAAGCAGAAGGAGAUCGAGGGGUUCUUCCCAAUCGACGUCUAAGGCUACUAAGAAAAAUAAAGCAGAGUUAAGAUUGCCUUCAAAUAUCGGCGUAUUUCGUGACUUGGUGAACAAUCGGUUAAGGCCUUUGCUACAUAACAAUCAUUAUGAAGCCCUCCGUCAAACCCCUUUUUUCCACUUCAUUAAUCUACCGGCUAUUCCUAAUGAACAAGUUUCAGUUGAUUGCUUGCUUCAUGCAUUUAAUCCAGAGCAUAGCUCAUUCAGGAUUGGGGGAAAGGAUAUCGUGUUCAGUUUUGUACAUGUGCAUGAAAUAACCGGAUUGCCGAAGACUGGAAAUAAGGUUGUAAUGGAUGGUCGAGCGCCUAAUACUAUAUACACCGAGCAUGUGUAUGGUAAGAAGACCCAAACAGAGAAGGAGGAGGAGAAGAAGGCCGGUAAGAGGAAGAAGAGGAAAGUCGACAAGAAGGAUGAAAAUAAAGAUAAAAAGAAAGUGUGGGCCACACGCAAGAGGAUGGCCGAUUUGAUCGUGGAGUUGGCAGUCUCCAACCACAUAGCUUGUGUGAAAUUGCUUGUUGCCUUUAUUAUUGGAUUUGUAUUAUGCCCGCAGCCCUCUAACUCAUGUCCAUUGUGGGUAUUUAGAUAUGCGAACAAUUUACUUGCUCUUCGUUCUUACAAUUGGGCUGGUGCCGUGUAUGAUCUACUGCAUAAGGAGAUGACGAGGGCAAAAUUGUCCAUCACAAAGAGAGCAGUAGGAGAGAGGUCACGAGCCGGAUACAUGGGAGGGUUUGCUUCAGUCUUGGUGGUUUGGUUUUAUGAACUAGUGGGGGAGCUCAAGUGUGAAAUAAAAGAGGAUUCCUUACACCCCAUUUUUAUUGAGAGGAAGUCUCGAUCAUUACGGCGAAAAGGGAUGAUGAGGAUAAUUGAAAACCCAAAGUGUAUUAGGAAUUACACUAGUCAACUCACCAUAUCAACCAUUCCUAGUGCAUCACGUCAUCAACCGGCGAUGACAUUACAUCAAGUACGUGACCUGCUUGCCAAAAAUAGAGAGGAGUAUGAGGAGCUUAUUGAGUUGGAGAAAAAAUUGAUUAGUGGCGGUAAUUGUGGUAAUGAAGCUGAAAAUGAAACUGAAGGGGAAGAAGAAAGCGAUGGGGAUGAUGAGGAGGAUGGUGGUGAUGAUGGGGAUGAUGAGGAUGAUGGUGGCGAUGAUGGGGAUGAUGGGGAUGACGACAAUACUAAUGUCGGGGGGAAUGUCGUUGAGGAUGACAAGGGUAAUACAGGGGAACGAGGAGUACAGAGUAAUGAAGAGAUGGGUGAAGAUGUUGAAAGGAGUGAGAAAUCCAGUGGUCGAUCUAAUUCCAAGCGUAAGGGAAAGCAACCAGAGAUGAUUGCAGAAGAGCUCAUUGAAGAUGAAGACUUCUUGCCUAUAUCUUUUUCAAGGACGUCAGCAAGGGACAUCAAAGCUAGGACCCCAUCAAUUAAACGGGUCGUUAGAGAUAGGAAACGUCAACCCGCACGUGCAAGACGUUCACCUUACACACAGUUGCGCGGCCGAGGCCGUCAUGAGAAGAAGGAGAUAAUUAAUGUUUCACAAUUGCAAACGCCGGGGUGUGAUGAAAAGAAUGAAGUGAUUGAUGUUUCCCAAUUGCAAACGCCGCAGAAGAGAAGGAAUGUCAAUAGCAAGACUGAUUUUAUUCCAAAGAAUUGCGAUUACCCGGCAAAGGGACAGUUAACUGAAAGUGAGAGGAAACUCCUUGAUGAGUUUUGCAAGAAGAGAAUGAACAGAGAUGAGUAUGUUUGGCAAUCUGUUACCCGGUUAGAUGUGUAUCAUCUUCUUAUUGGAAGCGCAAUUUCCGAUAGUUUAGUCGAUGGUAUGAUAGAGAGAUUUAAGAUGAAGAUUGAAACAGAAGCAUAUUCAAAACACAUACACAUCACAGGAUCAUUCUUUGCUGUGAGUAUUAGGAAAAUUUACUAUCAUUUAUAUUAUUUUUUGUUAAAUGUUAUGGUCAUGUUUUAACAGAGAUCGUUACUAGAAGAUAAUCCCGGCCAUUGGGCAAGACUACUCAAGGGUCGACAGCUUCCACGUGCACGCUUUGAAGAUAGCGAGAAGAUAAUUUUUCCUAUUCUUAGCAGUAGUCAUUGGCAUUUAUUGGAAUUGAUUAAGGCUGAGAAAAAAUUUUAUCACUAUUCCUCACUCACAUACAUUAAAUAUCUUAAUGAUGCCAAGAUGUUCAUGAACAAUUUCUUAGCUUGCAUAAAGGAUGAAUGGAAAAUAAAAAAUGUGGAUGAGUAUAGUAUAGAAACCCGACAGGUUGCUCAACAGGAUGGGAGCUUAGACUGCGGCAUUUUCAUGAUGGGAUACAUAUAUUCCAUCAUCAACGACACACCACCAUUCAUUCAACAGG